GGGUGAUUGCUUAGUGGUAGAACACAGUCUGAAUGGGUAAGAUCCCAGAUUCAAUCCCUGGAUCUCCCA